rnacentral:misc_RNA from 1 species
AAGUCGUAACAAGGUUUCCGUAGGUGAACCUGCGGAAGGAUCAUUCUCGAUACCACGGCGCAAGCCGGACACGUGUGCACAAACGGACGCUUCCCUGCCGCAAGGCGGGGGCUGAUACGCGAGCAGCAGGAUACAAACAAAACUACAACUUUUGGCGAUGGAUCUCUUGGCUCUCA